UAUAAAUAUUAUGCAUAAAUGUAUCAUUUUGACUUGACAGCUCAGGGAAGUUACCUAGCUUAAAAAUCAUAUAAAGUCAACUCCAACCCUAUUUUGCCCUUGAAAAUAAUAGCUGGGCCAAAUGCUUCCCUCUGGAAUUGCCCAGGUGAAAGACCAUCAGGUCCAGUCGUGUCCGACUCUGGGGUUGCGGCACUCAUCUCACUCUAUAGGCCGAGGGAGCCGGUGUUUGUCCGCAGACAGCUUCCGGGUCAUGUGGCCAGCAUGACAAAGCUGCUUCUGGCGAACCAGAGCAGCGCACGGAAACACCGUUUACCUUCCUGCCGAAGCGGUCCCUAUUUAUCUACUUGCACUUUGAUGUGCUUUCGAACUGCUAGGUUGGCAGGAGCUGGGACCGAGCAACAGGAGCUCACCCCAUCGCGGGGAUUCGAACUGCCGACCUUCUGAUCAGCAAGCCCUAGACUCUGUGGUUUAACCCACAGCGCCACCUGGGUCCCAGGUGAAAGACUACUGGCACUUCCUGAUCAUUAAUGCUGGAUUCUAAAGCCCUCGAUUUCUUGAUCAUCUGAUAUUUUCACUUUUUAAAAUCAAUUUAAUUUUUCAUCAUUAUGAACUGCUUCAAGACUUUCUAAAUGGUCAGUGGGCACUGCUGCGGUCGCAAGAUGGUUGCUGUAUUCAGAACCGAGAAGGAAUUUUCCCUGCAUUGGCAGGUUUCGCCUUCCCCACAGCAUUUCGUCACAACUUUGGCGGUUUUAGGUCUUAGCAAGGUAUCCUUUAGUGUAUCAUCAAGGUGGGGGGGGUGCAUUCAUGCUCCCUUCCCAUGCGGAGGCACUUGCAGGGCUGGCCCGUUAAAGGGCAAAAACUGGGAGUCCCUGGCCCUAGAGCGGCGGCAUGUAAGUCAACCCCCCCCCCCGAGCCGAGGUUAGUGGAAGGGCAUGCUGUGUAAGUUUGUGCUUUACAGUUCCCUCCCACUGCACCUCCUCAGCCUGCAUAUCCUCAGCCAGACGGGCUGAGGGGGUUACCUGCCAAGGCCAUGAGGCUCAAUAAAGUUGUGGCCAAUUUGAACCCAUACCUAGGUCUCUUGUCUCAUUCUUUGGGGCAAGGGGUAGGCACCACAGACAGGGUUUAGUGUGUGUGCCCCCUCACCUCACGGAUAACUUACCUUUGUUUGAGUGGACAUAUAUAGGAUCUUCGCAGGAAGAUCAGCUUCUAACAGAAGAGGAGGGGGAUAUUCGACACCCCCACCCCACCCCGUUUUCAGAGUCUCAUGAAGCAGACAGACAGGCAGA